UUGACCUCAGAUCAGGUAGGACUACCGCCUGAACUUAAGCAUAUCAAUAAGGCGAGGAACAGAAACCAACAGGGAUUCCCCUAGUAGUGGCAAAUGAAGCGGGAAAAGCUCAAGUUUGAAAUCUGGUGGGCUCGUCCCCUCAGAGUUGUAAGCUGAAGAGGCAUUGACCGACGUUGUCCGGGCCCAAUUUCCUUGGAACAGGAAGUCAUGGAGGGUGAGAACCCCGUCUGUGGCUCGAGUGCCGUCGUCCUUGCGUCUUGCCCUCGUAGAGUCGGGUUGUUUGGGAAUGCAGCUCAAAAUGGGUGGUAAAUUUCAUCUAAAGCUAAAUAUUGGCGAGAGACCGAUAGCAAACAAGUAGAGUGAUCGAAAGAUGAAAAGUACUUUGAAAAGAGAGUGAAACAGUACGUGAAAUUGUUGAAAGGGAAGCGUUUGGCAUCAGCCCAUGGCGCUCGAAGAUCAUCCGGGCUUCUGUCCGGUGCACUUUUCGAGCGUUGGGCCAGCGUCGACUUUGCCCGCCGGAGAAAGGCCAGGGGGACGUGUCUCCCUUCGGGGAGAGUUAUAACCCCUGGCGUCAUGCGGUGUGGUGGGGUCGAGGUCCGCG
rnacentral:rRNA from 1 species